rnacentral:lncRNA from 1 species
GGGGGAGAGACUGCUGGAGGCUCCCAGGGAGGAGAUUCAGGCUGCCUGGAUGUCAGCCCAGCAGGGUGGACGGGAGACAAAACCCAGGCUGACCAUUGACUUAAGAUUACUGGCCUCCAGUUGCUCUACCAGGGGCUUCUGCAAAGAAAUGGGACCCAGCUGGAGUUCAGCGUUUAGUGGCUGAGGUGAUGUUGCCCUGGGAUUCAAGGAGACCCAUCUUCCUCCUGCAAUGCACCAACAACAGUUCGAGUACGGCGCUCACAUCCUCCUGCCCCCUUGGGGGUUGCUGUGGGAACACCCUGAAAUGCGGAUCCUGGAUGCCAUUUUUGGGAAAAAGGCUGAGGAUCAUUCGGAAGGAACCUGACAAUCAAACUGCAGGUCGCUUGUCUCUCUGGCCUCCUUCCCAGUGGGAGAGAUCGAGCAGAGCCCCAGGCAGAAAAGGCUGCAGUGAGGGAGGGUUUUAAAGGCCUCCGUAAGAGGCAAGAGCUUCUGGGUGCUCUGGAAGGUGUGGUGGGGGGAGCCACAACCUUGGUUCAUGAUGCCUCCCCACCACUGCCUGGCCUCCUCCUGUGAGCCCCGCUCCCCCUGCCUCACCUCCUUUCUCCUUCGGGACCGUCAGUAGCGGCUUCUCAGUACAGCCGAGCCCACGGCCCACGUUUCCCCUUCCAUGAAAGGCCUCGUCCGGCCAGGGAGGUUCCAGGCCCGGUUCCACAUGAUGUCACAGAACUCCAUCCCACAGGACCCAGUGAUGUCACACAGCAGAAGGCAGCCUGCUGCACAGAGCAGGUCGGAGGCCACGGGGGCUGCUGCUCUUCCUCCUGAGCGAGUUCAGGCCGUGUUGCUGUGAGGACCUCAGAGAAGGGGCCUGGGGUCUGUUUAUGGGUGAAGCACCCCCCUAAGGAGAAGGGAACCACUGUGGGCAGACCCUCCCCAUAAGGUGUCUUUCUGUUGUCCGGCCUGCGGAGUCCCCUUGCUGAUCUGCUCUGCCUUGAAGGGCACAGAGGUUGCUGCUGCUGCCGCC